GGCGACAUAGUUUAAUUGGCAAAACGGAAGGCUCAUAAUCUUCAGACCAGGGUUCGAGUCCCUGCGGCGCCU
rnacentral:tRNA from 1 species